rnacentral:rRNA from 1 species
GACGAACGCUUGCGGCGUGCCUAAGAAAUGCAAGUCGAACGGACAUUCUCUUCGGAGGGUGUUAGUGGCGAACGGUCGCGUAACACGUAAGCAACCUGCCUCAAAGUGGGGGACAACAGACCGAAAGGUCUGCUAAUACCGCAUGUGAACAAUCUUGGGCAUCUUGGAUUGUUUAAAGCCUUGUGCGCUUUGAGAUGGGCUUGCGGCCUAUCAGGUAGUUGGUGGGGUAACGGCCUACCAAGCCGACGACGGGUAGCUGGUCUGAGAGGACGAUCAG